CGCACAAGCGGAGGAACAUGUGGUUUAAUUCGAUGAUACGCGAGGAACCUUACCCGGGCUUGAAAGUUAGUGACGGACUGUGAAAGCGGUCUUCCCUUCGGGGCACGAAACUAGGUGCUGCAUGGUUGUCGUCAGCUCGUGCCGUGAGGUGUCGGCUUAAGUGCCAUAACGAGCGCAACCCUUGCCGUUAGUUGCCAGCGGGUAAUGCCGGGAACUCUAGCGGGACUGCUACUGUAAGGUAGAGGAAGGUGGGGAUGACGUCAAAUCAGCACGGCCCUUACGUCCGGGGCGACACACGUGUUACAAUGGGUGGUACAGAGGGUUGCUACCAGGCGACUGGAUGCUAAUCUCCUAAAACCAUACUCAGUUCGGAUCGGAGUCUGCAACUCGACUCCGUGAAGCUGGAUUCGCUAGUAAUCGCGCAUCAGCCAUGGCGCGGUGAAUACGUUCCCGGGCCUUGUACACACCGCCCGUCAAGCCAUGGAAGCUGGGGGUACCUAAAGUCUGCAACCGCAAGGAGCGGCCUAGGGUAAAACUGGUAACUGGGGCUAAGUCGUAACAAGGUA
rnacentral:rRNA from 1 species